rnacentral:rRNA from 1 species
UACGUAGGGUGCAGGCGUUAAUCGGAAUUACUGGGCGUAAAGCGUGCGCAGGCGGUUUCUUAAGUCAGAUGUGAAAGCCCCGGGCUUAACCUGGGAACUGCGUUUGAAACUGGGAGACUUGAGUGUGGCAGAGGGGGGUGGAAUUCCACGUGUAGCAGUGAAAUGCGUAGAUAUGCGGAGGAACACCGAUGGCGAAGGCAGUCCCCUGGGCCUGUACUGACGCUCAUGCACGAAAGCGUGGGGAGCAAACAGG